GGGCGCAAKYCUGAUGCAGCCAUGCCGCGUGUAUGAAGAAGGCCUUCGGGUUGUAAAGUACUUUCAGCGGGGAGGAAGGGAGUAAAGUUAAUACCUUUGCUCAUUGACGUUACCCGCAGAAGAAGCACCGGCUAACUCCGUGCCAGCAGCCGCGGUAAUACGGAGGGUGCAAGCGUWAAUCGGAAUUACUGGGCGUAAAGGGCUCGUAGGCGGUUCKUYGCGUCCGGUGUGAAAGUCCAUCGCUUAACGGUGGAUCUGCGCCGGGUACGGGCGGGCUGGAGUGCGGUAGGGGAGACUGGAAUUCCCGGUGUAACGGUGGAAUGUGUAGAUAUCGGGAAGAACACC
rnacentral:rRNA from 1 species